rnacentral:rRNA from 1 species
CCGCCAGAGAACUACUAGUGAAAAACUUAAAACUCAAAGGACUUGGCGGUGUCCCAUUUCGGCCUAGAGGAGCCUGUCCUAUAAUCGACACUCCCCGUUCCACCCGACCUCCACUUGCACAUUCAGCCUAUAUACCGCCGUCAACAGUCUACCCCAUGAGGGUCUCUCAGUAGACACAAUAGCAACAACUCGCUAGCACGUCAGGUCAAGGUGUAGCAAAUGUUGAGGCAGAGAUUGGCUACAUUUUUUAUAUCAAAACAAACGAAAUGCAACAUGAAACAUUGCACGAAGGUGAAUUUAGUAGUAAAAU